CCUACGGGAGGCAGCAGUGGGGAAUCUUGCGCAAUGGGCGAAAGCCUGACGCAGCAACGCCGCGUGCGGGAAGAAGGCUUUCGGGCUGUAAACCGCUUUCAGCAGGAACGAAAAUGACGGUACCUGCAGAAGAAGGAGCGGCCAACUAUGUGCCAGCAGCCGCGGUGAUACAUAGGCUUCAAGCGUUGUCCGGAUUUAUUGGGCGUAAAGAGUUCGUAGGCGGUCGAGUAAGUCGGGUGUGAAAAUUCUGGGCUCAACCCAGAGACGCCACCCGAUACUGCUUGACUUGAGUUCGAUAGGGGAGUGGGGAAUUCCUAGUGUAGCGGUGAAAUGCGCAGAUAUUAGGAGGAACACCGGUGGCGAAGGCGCCACUCUGGAUCGAUACUGACGCUGAGGAACGAAAGCAUGGGUAGCAAACAGGAUUAGAUACCCUGGUAGUCCAUGCCGUAAACGGUGGGCACUAGGUGUGGGUUUCUAUUAACGAAAUCCGCGCCGUCGCUAACGCAUUAAGUGCCCCGCCUGGGGGAGGUACGGUCGCGAGACUAAACUUAAAUAGAAUAGACGCGNGAGACGNGCGAGACGACGACGAGGAGAGG
rnacentral:rRNA from 1 species